rnacentral:rRNA from 1 species
AUUGAACGCUGGCGGCAUGCCUUACACAUGCAAGUCGAACGGCAGCACGGGUGCUUGCCCCUGGUGGCGAGUGGCGAACGGGUGAGUAAUACAUCGGAACAUGUCCUGUAGUGGGGGAUAGCCCGGCGAAAGCCGGAUUAAUACCGCAUACGAUCUACGGAUGAAAGCGGGGGACCUUCGGGCCUCGCGCUAUAGGGUUGGCCGAUGGCUGAUUAGCUAGUUGGUGGGGUAAAGGCCUACCAAGGCGACGAUCAGUAGCUGGUCUGAGAGGACGACCAGCCACACUGGGACUGAGACACGGCCCAGACUCCUACGGGAGGCAGCAGUGGGGAAUUUUGGACAAGGGGCGAAAGCCUGAUCCAGCAAUGCCGCGUGUGUGAAGAAGGCCGUCGGGUUGGAGCACUUUUGUCCGGAAAGAAAUCCUUGGCCCUAAUACGGUCGGGGGAUGACGGUACCGGAAGAAUAAGCACCGGCUAACUACGUG